AAAUUCAAGAUCAAUGAGGCCAUGCAGGUACAGUACAAAUACAGCUUAUGAGAGUGAACUAGUUAUACCAUGUUUUACAUGUGCCAGUUUUUUUCCUUCCACAACAAGAAAUUCAUGCUUUCAAUAAUUGACGACUUCCACGUCAUCCACACCGUUCAGGACCCAAAAGCAGCUGUGACCAGUACAACAUCGCACAUGGCAACUAAGCUUCUUGACAUUCAAGAAGCCGAGGCAGUACCAAGGCCCGAAUCCACAGUCCAGCACUAGGAGGUCACAGUUAAUGGGAAUGUCUGCAGAGGAGGAAUCAACAUCACUGCACUCCAGAGAGAAUUCAACACGUUCCUGGAGGAUUAUCUCGUACAGCCAUAUCUCGCUGCCCUCCCACCUGAAAGAAGAAUUUUCAACAUGGCAGAUGCUGAGGAGUCCAUACAACAUUUAAGGUGCUACACUGAUCCUGAGAUAGCUGAGAAAAGCUUCUCUUAAAACAGUUGUUCUUGUAGAUGAAGAAGAGCGCUCCCUGAGAGGCAUUACAUGAUAUAUGGAGGCAUGGGUACACAUCAACAGCGAAGUGCCUAUCAUCACUGACUACCUUGACAAAUACCUCAUGAUCACAACAGGAGACUGGCCGACAUACUACUUUUAAAA